UCAUUACGUGACAACAGGAUGCGUUUUCAACUCAGACAUUGUGAAGAAACCGUUUAAAUUCAAAGUUUGUACUGUCACCUACCUCUUUUUCUAACGCAUUGUGCUUCAGAG